GGGCGAUUAGCUCAGUGGGAGAGCACUGCCUUCACACGGCAGGGGUCACUGGUUCAAUCCCAGUAUCGCCCACCA
rnacentral:tRNA from 1 species